AUUCAGUGAGUCAGCAGCACAGCUCCUCCAGCACGCAGAGAACAGCGGUCCAUGGAGGGAGGGCGUGAGCCUGGGGUUUUACUGAGGAAGGAUAGUGGGUUUUUCAGUCCCUGAAGCUGCUGCUCUGCCCACUCAGGAAGGUGAGGAAGGCAGACGACAGCGUACAUCCAGCCUCUGCUCUGCCAGGGUCGUUGAUGCCCUUUGGAAUGGAGAGCUGUGAAGGGGAAUGCCUAGGCCUCACAGAGGAGGCUCGUGACCCGGACAGGUGUGGGACUAGGGGCCAUGUCUGUAGCUCCCCUGCCACGGAGCAGAAUCUGCCUCUCCAUAAGCGUUAAGCUCUGGGGACUGUGACAUCCACGCUGGGCCUGGCUCCUGCCUUCCGCCUCCUGCCCAGCCCCUGCCAGCAGCACAUGGUGGAGACCGGUUGCCCAAAGCUCUUGUUCUCAGAUGUGGGCAGAACGGGAAUCUGCCAUGUGCCCGUGGAUUAAAAAAAAGAAACCCAGGCUGCUUUUCUGUCUGUUAGAAGGAGCCUGCACUUCAAGAUAGUGGGGAUGUAUAUUUUAAAAAAUUUCACGCUCAUGGGCCAAAGAUUUUCCCGGGGCUGUGUGCUGAUUUGCAGCCUAUCAUGUGUGGCUUUGGGACACUGGGGAAGGUGUGGAGCAGUUUAAGUGACAAACGGGUUGGAAAAGCAAAGGACACCAGGUGAGGAUGAUGGAAUUUACAUCCUGUUGCUUCCCUGAUAGUUCCUGCCAAUAUGGGAUCCCACUACUAUCUUUCUGCCCUAAAAAUAUGUGUAUAUUGAGAUAGAAACUGUUGUAAUGGCUGCAUGCAUUCAGUAGAGGAAAGGAGAGAAGAAAGAAGGAACAGAUUUAGUCCUGCCCAGAAUCUGCACUUCCACGGAGGACGCCAGGAUAUCACGGGAGAGACUGCAGCUCUGAUCAAAUGGGGCGAGCUCUUGGCAGGAGCCAGCAUGUUCCUGUGUUCCAUUUGGGAGGACAGUUUACUUUAAUGAUGUACUUUGAAAUCAGGUGGACGUCUGUAACUCCUGGACCUUUCGCAGCCUUUCCAGCCACGGUCAUCUCUGUGGAGUCAGGGGCAGGGACUUUGGGAUCAGCUUCUGCCCUUGUGAAAACAGCAGAGCAGCCUGAGAGCCAGGAAGGACCUCACCUGAGUAUCAGAUCACCUCAUCAGGCUGAAUUGUGUGGAUCUAGGGAUUUUAAAGAGGUGAUUAAGGUAAAAUGAGGUUAUUAGGGUGGCCCUUGACCCAGUGUGACUGGUAUCCUCAUAAGAGGAGAUUAGGACACAGCCACACAGAGGGACGACCACCUGAGGAUCCCUGAGAAGAUGGCAUCUGGAAGGUGAGGAGAGAGGCCUCAGAAGGAAUCAACUCUGCUGAUACUUGAUGCCAACUUCCAGCCUCUGAAACUGCGAGCAAGGUGGUUUGUUAUUCAGCAAUGGAUAAUUAGAGCACUGACUCACCUUGAUGGGCCUCAUCAUCAUUCAUCCAGAAAUCUUUUAUUGAGAAAAAUAAUAUUUGCCAUGUUGUGCAAGGAGUUGGGGUUGCAAAGCUGGGUGCUGUGAUCUAUAACACAAGGCAGCAGGAUUGUCUGACCUCCGAGAGCCAUGUGCCCUGGGAUCAUCUGGCCACAGUUAUCUCACAGAAUUCCUAAUGCACAGUCUGUGUGGGAGGUGAUGCCGGAGUCCCCCCUCCCUCUGGGCUCCUCCCCGUGCUCUGCUCACAUCACUGGGGGGUUGGCGGCAGCCUGCUGAGUCCUUUCGACCCUCAGCCCGCUCUCCAGCACUCAGACUGGCCGAAACCUGUGCCGCUGGCUCCACCCUCAGGUCUCCCCACUCCUCUCAUUAGCCACCGGCCUUCUCAGCCUUCUCUUAUUCUUGUGACUCUUGCCUGACCCUGCCUCAGCUCUGUGUCCUCCCAGACUGCUGACUGUGAGGCUUUGCCCAGCGGAUUUUCCAUCGCCAAAUUAGAGCUUUUCUUUCCUCGCCUGACUGCUCCCUGUCACUGUCUUCUGUAUCUUCCUGUUCCUGAUUUUGGCUGGCUAUCAAGAGAAGAAGAUCUACAAUCAUCCUAUCUCUCAUGGCACCUUACCAUGUGCAACUCCCUCGUAUCUAAUACCUCACUUCACCUUUUCUGUUCUUCUAUUUAUGAGCUACGUGAUGUCAGACAAGGCACUUAACUACUCUGGGCUUUGGCUCCCUUAUUUAACGAUAGGUAUCAUAAUAAUACCUGUCCUGUCCAAUUUACAGUUUGUCUGACAGUUAUUCAUUUAACAAACAUGCAUUGGGUUCCUACUGAGUGCUGGGUGAUGUAUCCAGCAUUGCUAAGACAACGGCCGUGAGAACAGCAAGCAUGCCUGGGUUUUGCAUUCUAGUGGGACGUCUUAAUCUAUUUUCUGCUAAAACAUAAUACCACAAACUAGGCAGUUGAUGAAGAAGAUACAUUUACUUCUUGCAGUUGAAGAGGCUGGGAAGUCCAAGGGCAUGGCACUGGCAUCUGGGUCAUCCCAUGGUGGAAGGUGGAAGGUGGAAGGGCAGGGACUAAGAAGAGCACCAGGUGCCAGACUCACUUUGUAACAACCCACUGUCAUAAUAACUAACCUGACCUCACAACCCAGUCACCUCCCAACAAAGUUGCAUUGGGAUUGAAUUUAUAACACAAGAACUUUUGGGGGGCAAAUUCAAGCCAGGCAUGGGGGUUAGUGUAAAUAAAUGAAUAGUGCAUAC
rnacentral:lncRNA from 1 species